rnacentral:rRNA from 1 species
UGGGGAAUAUUGGACAAUGGGCGCAAGCCUGAUCCAGCAAUGCCAUGUGUGUGAAGAAGGCCUUCGGGUUGUAAAGCACUUUAGUUGGGGAGGAAGGCUCUAAGGUUAAUAGUCUUAGAGAUUGACGUUACCCAAAGAAUAAGCACCGGCAAACUCCGUGCCAGCAGCCGCGGUAAUACGGAGGGUGCAAGCGUUAGUCGGAAUUACUGGGCGUAAAGCGCACGUAGGUGGCCUGUUAAGUCAGGUGUGAAAACCCUGGGCUCAACCUGGGAAUUGCAUUUGAUACUGGCGGGCUAGAGUAUAGUAGAGGGAAGGGGAAUUUCUGGUGUAGCGGUGAAAUGCGUAGAUAUCAGAAGGAACAUCAGUGGCGAAGGCGCCUUCCUGGAUUAAUACUGACACUCAGGUGCGACAGCGUGGGGAGCAAACAGG